rnacentral:rRNA from 1 species
CCUUUUGGUUCGGAACAACACAGGGAAACUUGUGCUAAUACCGGAUAAGCCCUUACGGGGAAAGAUUUAUCGCCGAAAGAUCGGCCCGCGUCUGAUUAGCUAGUUGGUGAGGUAAUGGCUCACCAAGGCGACGAUCAGUAGCUGGUCUGAGAGGAUGAUCAGCCACAUUGGGACUGAGACACGGCCCAAACUCCUACGGGAGGCAGCAGUGGGGAAUAUUGGACAAUGGGGGCAACCCUGAUCCAGCCAUGCCGCGUGAGUGAUGAAGGCCCUAGGGUUGUAAAGCUCUUUUGUGCGGGAAGAUAAUGACGGUACCGCAAGAAUAAGCCCCGGCUAACUUCGUGCCAGCAGCCGCGGUAAUACGAAGGGGGCUAGCGUUGCUCGGAAUCACUGGGCGUAAAGGGUGCGUAGGCGGGUCUUUAAGUCAGGGGUGAAAUCCUGGAGCUCAACUCCAGAACUGCCUUUGAUACUGAAGAUCUUGAGUCCGGUAGAGGUGAGUGGAACUGCAAGUGUAGAGGUGAAAUUCGUAGAUAUUCGCAAGAACACCAGUGGCGAAGGCGGCUCACUGGCCCGGUACUGACGCUGAGGC